rnacentral:lncRNA from 1 species
CAGCUAUCCAUGGGCAAGUAACUCAAGAAGAUCCAAGAUUUAACUGUGCUCUGUGUGAGGAUACGUAUCUUUUUGUGUUUCUUUGAAUCUGCCAUUUGCCUGGAGCUUUUGAGAGGUAAUUCCAUAUUAACAUCCUUUUUGUCAGUCUAUAUUUUUAUUGUAUCUCACCAAUAUAUUAUCCAGUUAUCUCACUGAUACAUUAUCAGUGUGAGCCUCUGUGUAUCUAGAAUUUGUCUGUGGGCUUGUCUAUGCAUUUAUAGACCUUUCCUGUUCCUAUAUAAACACUUCAAGAAUUGAGUCCCAGGUGGGCUUCUGUUGAUUCAAGGAAAUCAAAAAGUAGAUUUUAUUCAUAUUGGCAGCAGAGAUAGACUGUGGGUACUGCAGGAACCAUGAAAAGAUUCCCUCUAAUUUUACUUUCAAGAGCUGGAAUUGUCAGUUAAGAGUUACCUUAGGUUCUGAGCAGAAGUGCACGUGUGAAUGUGUGCAUAUAUCUGCACAGACACAAAACCAAGCUGCCAAAACCAUCUGUGCUGGAGGAAAGGCGGUGGGGUUAAGCCAUACCGGAUGAGAGAGAAGCACGGUGCCCUGGC